rnacentral:lncRNA from 1 species
ACACAGUCGGUACUGCAGCUCCGAGCGCGCCGUGCGCUUCCUGCGGCUCCGCCGGCGCCGGGACCGGGGACAGGGACAUGGAGCCGGGCCGGGACCGGGACAUGGACCUGGGCUGGGACAACGACGGGGACUGGCCGUGCGAGGCCGCGGGGCCCUCGGCCGGGGCGCUCCCGGCAGGAACCGCGGUUGCUGUGCCGGGAGCGCAGGCGCGGAGCCGGGAGCGGCAAUGGCGGAGCCCGGGGAGCGGCGGGGCCGGGCCGGGGUCACCGGGAGCGGCUGCGGCGGGCUCGGAGGUGAGCGGGGAACGGGGGCGGGCCGCAGUGACCGGGGGAAAUGGGGAGAGUCGGUGUGCCGACGAAUAGAUCCGAGUUGCCGGGGACGGCUCGGUGUGCCGGCGGAGGGAAAGCUGGUUAAAGGAUAAAGAUACAGAGGAACAAGUGUUGUAAACCCCCCUUGCUCUCUGACUGAGCAAACCUUCCAGUAAUCCCAGUACAUCUCUCUGAGAGGUUCUGGGGUCAUAAGGUCUUCCAGGAAAGCAAAACAAGCACAGAGACAAGGGAAUAGGCUUCCAGUUAAUAAUGAUUUGGUGGGUGUGGGAAUGAUUCUUGUAUGUUUCACACUCCUCUUUUAACUCCUGGAAUAUUUUUAAAGUUAUUCCUUUAACAAACUAAAUUUGAGAGGAAAUGGUGCAAAAUAAAUGCACGGAGAGAUCAUGGAAUCCCCAAUGGUUUGAGUGGCAAGGGACUUUAGGGAUCAUUUCAAUCCAUCCCCUGCUAUUCCAUCCACAGCCCAGGGUGCUCCAAGCCCCAUCCAGCCUGGCCUUGGACACUUCCAGGGAUGGAGCAGCCACGAUCUCUCUGGGUUUACGGGCACAGGAGGGAAUUUCCAGCAGGAGCUGAGGCGUUUCCUUUGCUCUGCCCAGCCCCAGCAGGGCUGUGGGAGGCAGAGGAUGUGGGAGCAGGAGCUUUGCCCACUGCCCCGGGGGAGUCUCUGCUGUGCCAGCCCCGGCAGAGCAAACGUUUGUGGUUUCACAUCCCGUUCCAAGGAGCUGCCAAGGCAGGAACGGGGAUGGGCACGGAGCAGGGAUGGUGCCAGGCACAGGGUGACAUCCAGAGGGUGCCGCCAGCCCGUCCCUGCUGCCCAGGCUGGGAUGAGCAGGCUGGUGACUGUCCCUGUGUUUGCUCUGCAGGGUGAGGAAGCCAACCCUGGCGAGGAGGAAGAUGAGGAGGUGUGGGAGGAUGGAGACAGCGGCCACCAAAGGCUGGGGAAGGCCCAGCUCCAGAGAAAAGCUGCCAAGGAAGAAAGGAAGAGCUUCCCCCAGUGAAAACCUUCCCAGUCCCACGCUGGGUUUGCACACACAGGAGGCUCCAUCCCGGCUGGAAUCCAGUCACAGCCCCCAGAUCAAUGUGCACUUUAAGGUCUCACAGUCUCCUGCCUCUGGACAUGGAAAAUCAGUUUUUCGUUGCCAGGUAACUGUGAAGUGGUGUAAUGGUUUUUAAGUUGUGCACAUGGAGGAAAUUCACUGGAGCAGCCAGCACUGCUCUGCCUUCAUGGGCAACCCUGUGGGUCUGGGAUCUUGAUUUGUGGGUGUGAAAUCUCCUCACAGAAUCCUCUGAGGCUGAAACAAAGACAAGGAACCUUCUGAGAUGGAAAGAGCCAGAGCAAGUUGUUGUGGGAAAGGAAAAUUAAAUAUGGUAAGUGCUAAAACCUUUGUUCUUCCUGACCUCUGUACUUGACCUCUGUACCUGGGAAUGGGUCAGCUCUGGAAAUUUCCUGGAGACACUGGAGAAUGAUCCCUGGUCUGCUGAAAAGUGGGAAAAUCCCACUGGCAAUUGCAGCCCCUGAGGGAGGGCAAAAAGAGCAGGACCUCAGUCUGUGAGUGUGUGAGAAAUAAGGGAGGGACAAAUCUAUGGAUCAUCCUGUGCCUCAGGGCACCAGGAAAAGCCCUUGACCUAAAAACUGAAGUGCUGUUCCACAGAGAGCCUGGGCAUUGGGCUCAUCCCAGCUUCCCUUCCAGAGCUGGAGGAACACCCCGCAGUGUUGUAUGAGACAUUCCUGACUGGAACUGGGGCCAGCUGGGCACUUUCGUGUUUUCCUGUAGGAUAUGGGCUGUGACAUGAAUUGGCUCCAGCAGGGCCCAAGAUCACUCUGGGGUCUGUGGCAGGGACAACUCCCAGAGCCAGACAGGGAGGGGGACCUGCACCCACACUCCCGAAAAGCUGAGAAGGAAGAACACCUGCCUGCAGCUGGCUGCAGCUCCUGGAGCUCUGGGCUUUCUGGCACACUCAGGGACAUGGGAUAAUGCCAGAAUCAUUCAAACCUUGGGAAUAAUGGGAUUAAUACCACCCCUUGAGCUCCUGCCCAUCGGCCACUGGCUGCAGAUGGUGGUGGAAGUGAUGGAGGCAUUCAGGGAAUGCUGAUUGUUUUUCCCUCGCUUUGGCAAUCUGGUCAGCAAAAAUACUAAUUGAGCUCUUCCAGCAGGGAAACAUUUAAGCAAGAGGUGCUGAAAAAAUUGGAGUUUCUGAUUUCAAGUCUCCAACUUAAAAUCCUCUUUGGAUUGUCACUGGUCCAAUUUUCAUGCACUGGUCACCGUGGCCAGGAGUGUCCAGUCCUGCUGGAAAUGCACUGGACCAGGAUGUCAUUUUCAUUUUAUGCUGGUAAAGACCCUCUGGGUGACCCCCAGUGACUGGAAAGACUGCUCUGGGCUCCCAGGGCACUAAUUCCAGGGGUUCUGUUUUUGGGAAUAGCACAGGAACCCUUCCCUUGCCCAGAGGAGCAGUAAGUGCCUCGAAUCCCCAGGGUGGACCACAGAGAAAAUAACAGGAAUGUGGAAAUCCCCCACACUGGGAGUUUGUGGUGCUCUGAAUAACUUUUGGAUUUAUAAUGUUAAAGGGGGGUGUGGAAUGGCUUCUCUCCUUUUUAUUGUCAUUGUUAUCACUGCUCUUGUUGCUAUCACUGUUAUUAUGUGUUGUCAUUAAUAUUAAAUGAUUGUAUUUGACUGGUUUCCAUUAUUAAAGUGCUCUGAGCUGGAUUUUUGUCUCUGGUCUCUUCCCCAUCCCACUGGGGGUGAGGGAGCUGCUGCUGGUACAGAAAGAGACACUAAGGACUGGUUUGGGGGGCUUGAAACCAAGGUGCCUCAGACAGCGUUUGGGAUCUCAGAGAGACCAAGUUCUGCAUUUUAGAGGCGUGAAGCAGAGACCAUGGCCUGU